UACAGAGGUCUCGAGCGUUGUUCGGAUUCAUUGGGCGUAAAGGGUGCGUAGGUGGCGCUGUAAGUCAGGUGUGAAAUUUCGGAGCUUAACUCCGAAACUGCAUUUGAUACUGCGGUGCUUGAGGACUGGAGAGGAGACUGGAAUUUACGGUGUAGCAGUGAAAUGCGUAGAGAUCGUAAGGAAGACCAGUGGCGAAGGCGGGUCUCUGGACAGUUACUGACGCUCAGGCACGGAAAGCAUGGGGAGCAAAAGGG
rnacentral:rRNA from 1 species